rnacentral:rRNA from 1 species
GAUGAACGCUGGCGGCGUGCCUAACACAUGCAAGUCGAACGGAGAUUACGGACGGAAGUUUUCGGAUGGAAGCCUGUAAUUCUUAGUGGCGGACGGGUGAGUAACGCGUGGGCAACCUGCCCUAUACAGGGGGAUAGCAGCUGGAAACGGCUGGUAAGACCGCAUAAGUCGGUUAAAUCGCAUGAUUUGAUCGGGAAAUGAGCAAUCAGGUAUAGGAUGGGCCCGCGUCCGAUUAGCCAGUUGGCAGGGUAAAAGCCUACCAAAGCGACGAUCGGUAGCCGGACUGAGAGGUCGACGGCCACAUUGGGACUGAGACACGGCCCAAACUCCUACGGGAGGCAGCAGUGGGGGAUAUUGCACAAUGGAGGAAACUCUGAUGCAGCGACGCCGCGUGAGUGAAGAAGUAUUUCGGUAUGUAAAGCUCUAUCAGCAGGGAAGAUGAUGACGGUACCUGACUAAGAAGCCCCGGCUAACUACGUG